rnacentral:tRNA from 1 species
GGGGUUGUAGCUCAGUGAUAGAGUGCUUGCCUCGCAUGCAUGAGUACCUGGGUUUGAUCCUCAGCACCA